GAUGAACGCUGGCGGCGUGCCUAAUACAUGCAAGUCGAGCGAACGGACGAGAAUCUUGCUUCUCUGAUGUUAGCGGCGGACGGGUGAGUAACACGUGUAUAACCUACCUAUAAGACUGGGAUAACUUCGGGAAACCGGAUCUAAUACCGGAUGAUAUUUUGAACCGCAUGGUUCAUAAGUGAAAGACGGUCUUGCUGUCACUAAUAGAUGGAUCCGCGCUGCAUUAGCUAGUUGGUAAGGUAACGGCUUACCAAGGCAACGAUGCAUAGCCGAUCGGAGAGGGGGAGAGGGCACAAUGGAACUGGAAACCGGUCCCGGGUCCUAAGGGAGGGAGCAGGGGGGGAAUGUGGCGAAUGGGGGGAAAGCUGGACGAGGCAUGGCGGGGGUGGGAAGGAAGGUUUUGGGGUGGAAAGAACUUUUUAUUGGGGGAAACCGCAGUUGUAAGAAACGUUGCGGUUUUGACGGUAACCAAAAAAGAAGCACCGGCUAACUACGGG
rnacentral:rRNA from 1 species